rnacentral:rRNA from 1 species
UACGUAGGUGGCGAGCGUUAUCCGGAAUGAUUGGGCGUAAAGGGUGCGUAGGCGGCCUGCUAAGUCUGGAGUGAAAGUCCAUCGCUUAACGGUGGAUCCGCGCCGGGUACGGGCGGGCUUGAGUGCGGUAGGGGAGACUGGAAUUCCCGGUGUAACGGUGGAAUGUGUAGAUAUCGGGAAGAACACCAAUGGCGAAGGCAGGUCUCUGGGCCGUUACUGACGCUGAGGAGCGAAAGCGUGGGGAGCGAACAGG